ACAUGCAGUCGAACGAAGCCUUCGGGUUUAGUGGCGCACGGGUGCGUAACGCGUGGGAAUCUGCCCCUUGGUUCGGAAUAACAGUUGGAAACGACUGCUAAUACCGGAUGAUGACGUAAGUCCAAAGAUUUAUCGCCGAGGGAUGAGCCCGCGUAGGAUUAGGUAAUUGGUGUGGUAAAGGCGCACCAAGCCGACGAUCCUUAGCUGGUCUGAGAGGAUGAUCAGCCACACUGGGACUGAGACACGGCCCAGACUCCUACGGGAGGCAGCAGCGGGGAAUAUUGGACAAUGGGCGAAAGCCUGAUCCAGCAAUGCCGCGUGAGUGAUGAAGGCCUUAGGGUUGUAAAGCUCUUUUACCCGGGAUGAUAAUGACAGUACCGGGAGAAUAAGCUCCGGCUAACUCCGUGCC
rnacentral:rRNA from 1 species